GGAGCUGUGGCUCAGUGGUAGAGUUUCUGCUUCGCAUGCAGAAGGUCCCAGGUUCAAUCCCUGGCAUCUCCA